GGGUUAAGUCCCGCAACGAGCGCAACCCUCGCCCUUAGUUGCCAGCAUUCAGUUGGGCACUCUAAGGGGACUGCCGGUGAUAAGCCGAGAGGAAGGUGGGGAUGACGUCAAGUCCUCAUGGCCCUUACGGGCUGGGCUACACACGUGCUACAAUGGUGGUGACAGUGGGCAGCGAGCACGCGAGUGUGAGCUAAUCUCCAAAAGCCAUCUCAGUUCGGAUUGCACUCUGCAACUCGAGUGCAUGAAGUUGGAAUCGCUAGUAAUCGCGGAUCAGCAUGCCGCGGUGAAUACGUUCCCGGGCCUUGUACACACCGCCCGUCACACCAUGGGAGUUGGUUUUACCCGAAGGUAGUGCGCUAACCGCAAGGAGGCAGCUAACCACGGUAGGGUCAGCGACUGGGGUGAAGUCGUAACAAGGUAGCCGUAGGGGAACCUGCGGCUGGAUCACCUCCUUUC
rnacentral:rRNA from 1 species